rnacentral:hammerhead_ribozyme from 1 species
AUCCGGUUGACGAGUCCCAAAUAGGACGAAACGCGGGUCCUGAAU